rnacentral:RNase_P_RNA from 1 species
GGAGGAAAGUCCGAGCACUGCAGGACAGGGUGCCUCCUAACGGGAGGAGUCCGCGAGGACAUGGAAAGUGCAACAGAAAAGAAACCGUCACGACAUCAAUGAUGUCGGGAUAAGGGUGAAAAGGCGGUGUAAGAGACCACCAGUUUCCGGAGCAAUGCGGAAAGCUUGUAAACCCCACCUAGUGCAAGAUCGAAUAGAUCUCCAGAUGUUGUCCGCAUCAUAAUGAGAGAUGGGUAGAUUGCGUAAUCCAGACUGUGAAGUCUGGAUCAGAUGAAUGGUCACUAAUUCUGCAUAGCAGAAAAACAGAACUCGGCUUAUAGACCGGCUCAU